rnacentral:rRNA from 1 species
GGUGGUAGUGUUAAUAGCACUAUCAUUUGACGUUAGCGACAGAAGAAGCACCGGCUAACUCCGUGCCAGCAGCCGCGGUAAUACGGAGGGUGCGAGCGUUAAUCGGAAUUACUGGGCGUAAAGCGCAUGCAGGUGGUUUGUUAAGUCAGAUGUGAAAGCCCCGGGGCUCAAACCCUCGGAAUUGCAUUUGAAACUGGCAGACUAGAGUACUGUAGAGGGGGGUAGAAUUUCAGGUGUAGCGGUGAAAUGCGUAGAGAUCUGAAGGAAUACCGGUGGCGAAGGUGGCCCCCUGGACAGAUACUGACACUCAGAUGCGAAAGCGUGGGGAGCAAACAGGAUUAGAUACCCUGGUAG